rnacentral:rRNA from 1 species
AGAGUUUGAUCCUGGCUCAGGACGAACGCUGGCGGCGUGCCUAAUACAUGCAAGUCGAACGCUUCUUUUUCCACCGGAGCUUGCUCCACCGGAAAAAGAGGAGUGGCGAACGGGUGAGUAACACGUGGGUAACCUGCCCAUCAGAAGGGGAUAACACUUGGAAACAGGUGCUAAUACCGUAUAACAAUCAAAACCGCAUGGUUUUGAUUUGAAAGGCGCUUUCGGGUGUCGCUGAUGGAUGGACCCGCGGUGCAUUAGCUAGUUGGUGAGGUAACGGCUCACCAAGGCCACGAUGCAUAGCCGACCUGAGAGGGUGAUCGGCCACAUUGGGACUGAGACACGGCCCAAACUCCUACGGGAGGCAGCAGUAGGGAAUCUUCGGCAAUGGACGAAAGUCUGACCGAGCAACGCCGCGUGAGUGAAGAAGGUUUUCGGAUCGUAAAACUCUGUUGUUAGAGAAGAACAAGGAUGAGAGUAACUGUUCAUCCCUUGACGGUAUCUAACCAGAAAGCCACGGCUAACUACGUGCCAGCAGCCGCGGUAAUACGUAGGUGGCAAGCGUUGUCCGGAUUUAUUGGGCGUAAAGCGAGCGCAGGCGGUUUCUUAAGUCUGAUGUGAAAGCCCCCGGCUCAACCGGGGAGGGUCAUUGGAAACUGGGAGACUUGAGUGCAGAAGAGGAGAGUGGAAUUCCAUGUGUAGCGGUGAAAUGCGUAGAUAUAUGGAGGAACACCAGUGGCGAAGGCGGCUCUCUGGUCUGUAACUGACGCUGAGGCUCGAAAGCGUGGGGAGCAAACAGGAUUAGAUACCCUGGUAGUCCACGCCGUAAACGAUGAGUGCUAAGUGUUGGAGGGUUUCCGCCCUUCAGUGCUGCAGCUAACGCAUUAAGCACUCCGCCUGGGGAGUACGACCGCAAGGUUGAAACUCAAAGGAAUUGACGGGGGCCCGCACAAGCGGUGGAGCAUGUGGUUUAAUUCGAAGCAACGCGAAGAACCUUACCAGGUCUUGACAUCCUUUGACCACUCUAGAGAUAGAGCUUCCCCUUCGGGGGCAAAGUGACAGGUGGUGCAUGGUUGUCGUCAGCUCGUGUCGUGAGAUGUUGGGUUAAGUCCCGCAAC